CCAGACUCGGUUUCUUGGUUCCGUCCCAAAACGCCGAAGAAAGGCACAAUGGCCUAGAAAGGGAUAGUCGGACUUGGAACGGGGUCCGAGGCCUCGAAAGUCCACAUCUAGCUACUGGGUGGUCCGAUUCUGAGUGAUCUCGAACUUUCUUGUCCACAAAAGCCGAACGGUGACGCCCCAGACUCGGUUUCUUGGUUCCGUCCCAAAACGCCGAAGAAAGGCACAAUGGCCUAGAAAGGGACGGUCGGACUUGGAACGGGGUCCGAGGCCUCGAAAGUCCACAUCAAGCUACUGGGUGGUCCGAUUCUGAGUGAUCUCGAAGUUUCUAGCCACAAAAGCCGAACGGUGACGCCCCAGACUCGGUUUUUUGGUUCCGUCCCAAAACGCCGAAGAAAGGCACAAUGGCCUAGAAAGGGACGGUCGGACAUGGAACGGGGUCCGAGGCGUCGAAAGUCCACAUCUAGCUACUGGGUGGUCCGAUUCCGAGUGAUCUCGAAGUUUCUUGCCCACAAAAGCCGAACGGUGCGCCCCAGACUCGGUUUCUUGGUUCCGUCCCGAAACGCCGAAGAAAGGCACAAUGGCCUCGAAAGGGACGGUCGGACUUGGAACGGGGUCUGAGGCCUCGAAAGUCCACAUCUAGCUACUUGGUGGUCCGAUUCUGAGUGAUCUCGAAGUUUCUUGCCCAGAAAAGCCGAACGGUGUCGCCCUAGACUCGGUUUCUUGGUUCCGUCCCAAAACGCCGAAGAAAGGCACAAUGGCCCAGUAAGGGACGGUCGGACUAGGAACGGGGUCCGAGGCCUCGAAAGUCCACAUCUAGCUACUGGGUGGUCCGAUUCUGAGUGAUCUCGAAGUUUCUUGCCCACAAAAGCCGAACGGUGACGCCCCAGACUCGGUUUCUUGGUUUUGUCCCAUAACGCCGAAGAAAGGCACAGUGGCCUAGAAAGGGACGGUCGGACUUGGAACGGGGUCCUAGGCCUCGAAAGUCCACAUCUAGCUACUUGAUGGUCCGAUUCUGAGUGAUCUCGAAGUUUCUUGGCCACAAAAGCCGAACGGUGACGCCCCAGACUCGGUUUCUUGGUUCCGUACCAAAACGCCGAAGAAAGGCACAGUGGCCUAGAAAGGGACGGUCGGACUUGGAACGGGGUCCGAGGCCUCGAAAGUCCACAUCUAGCUACUGGGUGGUCCGAUUCUGAGUUAUCUCGAAGUUUCUUGCGCACAAAAACCAAACGGUGACGCCCCAGACUCGGUUUCUUGGUUCCUUCCGAAAACGCCGAAGAAAGACACAAUGGCCUAGAAAGGGACGGUCGGACUUGGAACGCAGUCCGGGGCCUCGAAAGUCCACAUCUAGCUACUGGGUGGUCCGAUUCUGAGUGAUCUCGAAGUUUCUUGCCCACAAAAGCCGAACGGUGUCGCCCCAGACUCGGUUUCUUGGUUCCGUCCCAAAACGUCGAAGAAAG
rnacentral:lncRNA from 1 species